GAUGAACGCUGGCGGCGUGCCUAAUACAUGCAAGUCGAGCGAACAGACGAGGAGCUUGCUCCUCUGACGUUAGCGGCGGACGGGUGAGUAACACGUGGAUAACCUACCUAUAAGACUGGGAUAACUUCGGGAAACCGGAGCUAAUACCGGAUAAUAUAUUGAACCGCAUGGUUCAAUAGUGAAAGACGGUUUUGCUGUCACUGAUAGAUGGAUCCGCGCCGCAUUAGCUAGUUGGUAAGGUAACGGCUUACCAAGGCAACGAUGCGUAGCCGACCUGAGAGGGUGAUCAGCCACACUGGAACUGAGACACGGUCCAGACUCCUACGGGAGGCAGCAGUAGGGAAUCUUCCGCAAUGGGCGAAAGCCUGACGGAGCAACGCCGCGUGAGUGAUGAAGGUCUUCGGAUCGUAAAACUCUGUUAUUAGGGAAGAACAAAUGUGUAAGUAACUAUGCACGUCUUGACGGUACCUAAUCAGAAAGCCACGGCUAACUACGUG
rnacentral:rRNA from 1 species